rnacentral:tRNA from 1 species
GCCUGGGUGGCUCAGUCGGUUAAGCAUCUGACUUUGGCUCAGAUCAUGAUCUCCUCGUUUGUGAGUUCAAGCCCUGCACUGGGCU